CCUACGGGAGGCAGCAGUGAGGAAUAUUGGUCAAUGGACGAGAGUCUGAACCAGCCAUGUAGCGUGAAUGAUGACUGCCCUCUGGGUUGUAAACUUCUUUUAUAUGGGGAUAAAACAGAGUAUGCACAAUCUUGUAUGUACCAUAUAACUAAGGAUCGGCUAACUCCGUGCCAGCAGCCGCGGUACUACGUAGGAUCCGAGCGUUAUCCGGAUUUAGUGGGUUUAAGGGGAGAGUAGGUGGAUUGUUAAGUCAGUUGUGAAAUUUUGCGGCUUAACCGUAAAAUUGCAGUUGAAACUGGUAGGCUUGAGUCAAGUAGAGGUGGGUGGAAUUCGAGGUGUAGCGGUGAAAUGCGUAGAUAUCUCGAAGAAUACCGAUUGCGAAGGCAGCCCACUGGACUGCAACUGACACUGAUGUGCGAAAGUGUGGGGAGCAAACAGGAUUAGAUACCCCUGUAGUC
rnacentral:rRNA from 1 species